UACAGAGACUGCAAGCGUUAUUCGGAUUCACUGGGCGUAAAGGGUGCGCAGGCGGUUGGGUGUGUCAGAUGUGAAAUCCCGAGGCUCAACCUCGGAACUGCGUCUGAAACUACUCGACUAGAGUACUGGAGAGGGUAACGGAAUUCACGGUGUAGCAGUGAAAUGCGUAGAUAUGCGGAGGAACACCGAUGGCGAAGGCAAUCCCCUGGGCCUGCACUGACGCUCAUGUACGAAAGCGUGGGGAGCAAACAGG
rnacentral:rRNA from 1 species